GACGAACGCUGGCGGCGUGCUUAACACAUGCAAGUCGAACGCGAAAGCCCUUCGGGGUGAGUACAGUGGCGAACGGGUGAGUAACACGUGGGCAACCUGCCCCAGAGAGCGGGACACCCGGGAAACCCGGGCUAAUACCGCAUGAUGCGUCUCCGCAUAAGCGGAGCCGCCAAAAGGUAGCUUCGGCCUCCGCUCUGGGAUGGGCCCGCGCCGGAUUAGCUAGUUGGUUGGGGUAAUGGCCCACCAAGGCGACGAUCCGUAGCUGGUCUGAGAGGACGAUCAGCCACACUGGGACUGAGACACGGCCCAGACUCCUACGGGAGGCAGCAGUGGGGAAUCUUGCGCAAUGGGCGAAAGCCUGACGCAGCAACGCCGCGUGGGGGAAGAAGGCCUUCGGGUUGUAAACCUCUUUCAGUAGGGACGAAGCUUCCGGGGUUAAUAGCCUACGGGGUGACGGUACCUACAGAAGAAGCCCCGGCUAACUACGUG
rnacentral:rRNA from 1 species